GACGAACGCUGGCGGCGUGCCUAAUACAUGCAAGUCGAACGCAGUGGGGACGGGUGAGUAACACGUGGGUAACCUCCCAUCAGAGGGGAUAACACUUGGAAACAGGUGCUAAACCGAUACUGAUGGAUGGACCCGCGGUGCAUUAGCUAGUUGGUGAGGUAACGGCUCCCCAAGGCCACGAUGCAUAGCCGACCUUAGAGGGUGAUCUGCCACACUGGCACUGAGACCCGGCCCAACCUCCUACGGGAGGCAGCAGUAGUGAAUCUUCGGCAAUGGACGAAGGUUGGACCGAGCACCGCCGCGUGAGUGAGAAGGGUUUUCGGAUCGUAACACUCUGUUGUUAGAGAGGCGUUUUCUAACCAGAAAGCCACGGCCAACUACGUGCCAGCAGCCCCGGUAAUCC
rnacentral:rRNA from 1 species